rnacentral:snoRNA from 1 species
GCAAAAUGAUGAAAGCAAGGCGAAUUUGAACCGCAGUUUUAUUAUCAGUUUAUCUGAUUUGGAAUGGCAACCAGAGUUUAUCGUUCGUAAUCUUGGCAUUUGAUCGAAGUUGGAUCAGGGGCUGUAAGGGCGAACGAAGAUUAAAUUUUUGAUCACGGGUGGAUUAAUUCUAGUUAUAUUAGUUCGCUAAUGGCCAAAAUUACAAUUUGCAGCAUUGGAAGCGGUCAUGAUAUGCCUUGUCUUUAGUAAUCUGAUUGUG